rnacentral:misc_RNA from 1 species
AAAGUCGUAACAAGGUUUCCGUAGGUGAACCUGCGGAAGGAUCAUUAUAAAUUUGGUAUUCACUACCGAUUGACUAAUGUGCACCUAAUUGCUCGUUGUCGCGUGGUCGAAAGACCUGCGGCAGCGUAUUACUUUGAUUACUUUGUGUAAACACUAGUGUCUUGAAAUCCGUCACUUGCCUUGCGCUUGCUGACACUAAGGGUAAAUGAAAACUUUUAGCAACGGAUCUCUAGGCUCUC